rnacentral:rRNA from 1 species
AGUCUAACGCUAUUUAUAGAGUGGCGCACGGGUGAGUAACGCGUGGGAACCUGCCUUUCUCUGUGGGAUAACGGUUGGAAACGACCGCUAAUACCGCAUACGCCCUACGGGGGAAAGGUCCGCCGGAGAAAGAGGGGCCCGCGUCUGAUUAGCUAGUUGGUGGGGUAAUGGCCUACCAAGGCGACGAUCAGUAGCUGGUCUGAGAGGAUGAUCAGCCACACUGGGACUGAGACACGGCCCAGACUCCUACGGGAGGCAGCAGUGGGGAAUAUUGGACAAUGGGGGCAACCCUGAUCCAGCAAUGCCGCGUGUGUGAUGAAGGCCCUAGGGUUGUAAAGCACUUUCACUGGUGAAGAUGAUGACGGUAGCCAGAGAAGAGGCCCCGGCUAACUUCGUGCCAGCAGCCGCGGUAAUACGAAGGGGGCGAGCGUUGUUCGGAAUUACUGGGCGUAAAGGGCGCGUAGGCGGUCUUUUAAGUUAGGCGUGAAAGCCCCGGGCUCAACCUGGGAACUGCGCUUAAUACUGGAAGACUAGAAAACGGAAGAGGGUAGUGGAAUUCCCAGUGUAGAGGUGAAAUUCGUAGAUCUUGGGAAGAACACCAGUGGCGAAAGCGGCUACCUGGUCCGAUUUUGACGCU